rnacentral:rRNA from 1 species
AACGAACGCUGGCGGCAGGCUUAACACAUGCAAGUCGAACGCAUCGCAAGAUGAGUGGCAGACGGGUGAGUAACGCGUGGGAACAUACCCUUUUCUACGGAAUAGCUCUGGGAAACUGGAAUUAAUACCGUAUACGCCCUACGGGGGAAAGAUUUAUCGGGGAAGGAUUGGCCCGCGUUGGAUUAGCUAGUUGGUGGGGUAAAGGCCUACCAAGGCGACGAUCCAUAGCUGGUCUGAGAGGAUGAUCAGCCACAUUGGGACUGAGACACGGCCAAAACUCCUACGGGAGGAAGCAGUGGGGAAUAUUGGACAAUGGGCGCAAGCUUGAUACAGCCAUGCCGGGUGAGUGAUGAAGGACUUAGGGUUGUAAAGCUCUUUCACCGAUGAAGAUAAUGACGGUAGUCGGAGAAGAAGCCCCGGCUAACUUCGUGCCAGCCGCCGCCGUAAUAC